rnacentral:ncRNA from 1 species
CUCGCCCGGGUCCGUGGUUGCGCGGGCAGGCCCUUCGUGCGGCGGGAGCUGCGGGAGGGUCUACCUGGCAAGCCGAUGCCAGCCGCAGGCGAAACGGCCCACGUAAGGCGACUUCUCGUCGACUGAUCACGGUGCGGCUUAGAGGUAAGUCCUGCCCCGCCGGGGGAUACCGAGUUCCCCGCCCCGGGAGAAGGGCAGUAGUGGCUAUGGAAGGCUGCGAACCCCUCAGCAGGCGGAUGUGGGGGCGAAGACCAGGUCGGCCGGGCGAG